rnacentral:tRNA from 2 species
GCUCGUUUAGAAAAGUCGGUAGAGCACGGUGCUAAUAACGCCGCGGUCGCAGGUUCGAUCCCUGCAAUGAGCA